GGGACGAUGGCGCAGUUGGGAGCGCGUCUGACUGAAGUUCACUUCAUCAUCGGCCAUUCAAGGCUUAUCAGGAGGUCGUCGGUUCAAACCCGGCUCGUCCCA